AUGCCAUUUAGCAUAUCUAGUUUCAAACGUUUGAACUGCAGCCAAUGUGCUCUCGCUACAUGGAACUAUUUUGACACAGAGUUGUUGCGACUCCUGUUGGCUAUGCAUGAACUAGCAGUAGGUCACACCGACGGUAACAAGGAGAUUGACGUUUUGUUGUCUACAACCAUCUACCGAUACUUCGUUUGGAAAGAACAUCAAUCAUACGGCUUGGCGUUGCAGGGAUUCAGAUACCAGCUCAUUGAUGGGAUACAUUGCUUCAAAUACCAUAUGUGUUGAUUAAAAUCUGGAUUGUUCAAAUUUCUAUUGGAUUAUUUUUGUGCCACAAAUGAAGAGGCAAUGAGCACAAAUGACUGGUUUUGCUGUGUUUGUAAUUAAUGGUUGAUUAUAACACUUCUGCCCAACGUUGAAGGGAAACGCAAUUGCAAUAAUUAUUUAGUAGUUGAAUUGGUUGCACAAACCUAUAAUUUAAGAUUUAAUUAUGUCCAUUAAAUAUUGAAGUCCUUGCAAAUGGUUUGAUCAUGACUUACCUUACAUGGUCUACUAUUUUGUUGGGACCUUUUUUUUCUUUUCAUAUGCUGGCCAUAUAUUUUGCAGUCUUUCUAAAAGUCAUGUUCUGUCAAGGAUGAAGCUGCCUGCUACUCUGUAUGUAUAAAGUUAGCCUAUGUAGUGUAUCAUAGUACUCAUGUAACUCAUUGGAAUCAUGUUCCUUUUUCUUCCCAUUCUUGUCUUGUCAGUAUGUAGUUGAAUAGAGUUGGACUGUAGAGCUAACUUGACAUUUUAUACUGCUUCAGUAUGUCCUUCAAUAAGGGCACAUCCAGCUUUUAUGGUUUAAAGCAAAAAUUACAAAAUUAACAGUGGUGUCUUCUACAUAAUUGUGCUAAACACCUUUUUAAUUUUAAAAUGUUCUUUGUUUAAAUAAUGUAUUUAUUAGGUCUUAGUGCUGAACAACUGUUAAUAAAGUAAAUAAAACCAAAGUGUGUCUCAUUUCAAGAAAGGAAGAAAUCUUUAGCUUGAGAUGACUGUCCUUUUUGUAUGAAGAAGGAUAAUUCUGGUUGUUGUCCUCACUUUCAUAGUAAUGAAAGAAGAUACAUCUGGUAGUUGUCCUGACUACCAAAGUAAUGGAGGAAAAUUAAUCUGGUAGUUGUCCUGACUCCCGUAGUAAUGAAGGAAGAUACAUCUGGUAGUUGUCCUGACUACCAAAGUAAUGAAGGAAGAUACAUCUGGUUGUUGUCCUGACUACCAAAGUAAUGGAGGAAAAUUAAUCUGGUAGUUGUCCUGACUCCCGUAGUAAUGAAGGAAGAUACAUCUGGUAGUUGUCCUGACUACCAAAGUAAUGAAGGAAGAUACAUCUGGUAGUUGUCCUGACUACCAAAGUAAUGAAGGAAGAUACAUCUGGUAGUUGUCCUGACUACCAUAGUAAUGAAGGAAGAUACAGUGCCUUGCGAAAGUAUUCGGCCCCCUUGAACUUUGCGACCUUUUGCCACAUUUCAGGCUUCAAACAUAAAGAUAUAAAACUGUAUUUUUUUGUGAAGAAUCAACAACAAGUGGGACACAAUCAUGAAGUGGAACGACAUUUAUUGGAUAUUUCAAACUUUUUUAACAAAUCAAAAAC
rnacentral:lncRNA from 13 species